GACGAACGCUGGCGGCGCGCCUAACACAUGCAAGUCGAACGGACUUAACUCAUUCUUUUAGAUUGAGAGCGGUUAGUGGCGGACUGGUGAGUAACACGUAAGCAACCUGCCUAUUAGAGGGGAAUAACAGUGAGAAAUCAUUGCUAAUACCGCAUAUGCUAACAGUAUCGCAUGAUACAGUUAGGAAAGGAGCAAUCCGCUAAUAGAUGGGCUUGCGUCUGAUUAGCUAGUUGGUGGGGUAACGGCCUACCAAGGCGACGAUCAGUAGCCGGACUGAGAGGUUGAACGGCCACAUUGGGACUGAGAUACGGCCCAG
rnacentral:rRNA from 1 species